rnacentral:rRNA from 1 species
GCAUCGAUGAAGAACGCAGCGAAAUGCGAUAAGUAAUGUGAAUUGCAGAAUUCAGUGAAUCAUCGAAUCUUUGAACGCACAUUGCGCCCUCUGGUAUUNCCGGGGGGCAUGCCUGUUCGAGCGUCAUUAUAACCACUCAAGCUCUCGCUUGGUAUUGGGGUUCGCGGUUUCGCGGCUCCUAAAAUCAGUGGCGGUGCCUAUCGGCUCUACGCGUAGUAGUACUCCUCGCGAUUGAGUCCGGUAGGUCUACUUGCCAGCAACCCCUAAUUUUUUUAAGGUUGGCCUCGGAUCAGGUAGGGAUACCCGCUGAACUUAAGCAUAUCAAUAAGCGGAGGAA